AUUGAACGCUGGCGGCAUGCCUUACACAUGCAAGUCGAACGGUAACAGGUCUUCGGAUGCUGACGAGUGGCGAACGGGUGAGUAAUACAUCGGAACGUGCCCGAUCGCGGGGGAUAACGGAGCGAAAGCUUUGCUAAUACCGCAUACGAUCUACGGAUGAAAGCAGGGGACCGCAAGGCCUUGCGCGGACGGAGCGGCCGAUGGCAGAUUAGGUAGUUGGUGGGAUAAAAGCUUACCAAGCCGACGAUCUGUAGCUGGUCUGAGAGGACGACCAGCCACACUGGGACUGAGACACGGCCCAGACUCCUACGGGAGGCAGCAGUGGGGAAUUUUGGACAAUGGGCGCAAGCCUGAUCCAGCCAUGCCGCGUGCAGGAUGAAGGCCUUCGGGUUGUAAACUGCUUUUGUACGGAACGAAAAGACUCUUUCUAAUAAAGAGGGUCCAUGACGGUACCGUAAGAAUAAGCACCGGCUAACUACGUGCCAGCAGCCGCAGUAACAC
rnacentral:rRNA from 1 species